rnacentral:rRNA from 1 species
GUCCACGCUGUAAACGUUGGGCACUAGGUGUGGGCUCUAACCAACGGAGUCCGUGCAGCAGCUAACGCAUUAAGUGCCCCGCCUGGGGAGUACGGCCGCAAGGUUAAAACUCAAAGGAAUUGACGGGGGCCCGCACAAGCAGCGGAGCAUGUUGCUUAAUUCGAGGCAACGCGAAGAACCUUACCUGGGCUUGACAUGUAGGGAAAUCUCGUAGAGAUACGGGGUCCUUCGGGCGUCUACACAGGUGGUGCAUGGCUGUCGU